CCUACGGGCGGCUGCAGUGAGGAAUCUUGGUCAAUGGACGGAAGUCUGAACCAGCCAUGCCGCGUGCAGGAUGACGGCUCUCUGAGUUGUAAACUGCUUUUGUACGAGAAUAAUAUUUCUUACGUGUCGGGCUUUGCAUGUAUCGUACGAAUAAGGAUCGGCUAACUCCGUGCCAGCAGCCGCGGUAAUACGGAGGAUUCGAGCGUUAUACGGAUUUAUUGGGUUUAAAGGGUGCGUAGGCUGUUGGAUAAGUUAGAGGUCAAAGGUCGGGGCUUAACCCCGUGCCUGCAUCUGAUACUGUUGGACUAGAGAGCGGAUGCAGCAGGCGGAAUGAGUAGUGUAGCGGUGAAAUGCUUAGAUAUAACGCAGAACACCGAUUGCGCAGGCAGCUUGCUAAUCCGCAUCUGACGCUGAGGCACGAAAGCGUGGGUAGCGAACAGGAUUAGAUACCCUUGUAGUC
rnacentral:rRNA from 1 species